GUGGAGACUGUUUUUGGCAUUUUGACAUCAAUGGAUAAUUUCAGUUGACAUUGACUGUAUCAAGUAUUUGUGUUUAAUGUACACUAUCAUUCAAAUGGUCACUAAAUGAAAUGUUUUACAAACAGUUAUUUUAAAUUGCAAUUAUAGUUCACAAUAUUGCUGUUUUGACCAACUAAAUGCAGCUAUGGUGAGCACAAGAGCACACUCCUUUUAAGUAUAUAUUCUUCUACAAACAGAAGAAAUGGAAGAGUUUGUGAGAACUAGUGGUUAUUUAGUCUUAAAUGGAUUACUGUUAAGUGGAGAGCAUGCAUGACAGCUUUGCCUUUGCCUUUUUUUUUUUUUUUUUUUUUUUUUUUUUUUUGGUCAUAAUUGUUUUACCGUUUAGGUCUUAUUUUACAGAAUUCUGCUGGAUUUCCCGAUAUGGAAGAUAAGAAUGUUGACAGAUUCUGGACCUGGUUAUCAGUUAUCUUAAACAAAACAUAUCAGAAGAGAAACAAAAGUACUUCAGCUCUGAAAAUAAGCAUCUUCUUCCUCAUAAUUCAAGCAGUCGCAAUGGUUUUCGCCGUACCACAGAUGAUCCUCCUGAUCUGCCUGCUUCAGUUUUGUACUUGUGCAGUCGGUCAGAAUGUGCACCCAAAAACUCUCAUGAAUAUUGUACAGAACUUUGAGAAUAAGUUGUCUGGCAUGGGACAAUAUGCUGUCGCAUUCAGAGUCGAGAAGCAAAAAUGUCAAGAUUCCAGCUAUGGCGGUCAGGAAUUAAUAACUAGACAAGUGAAAGAAAAACUUCAGCGCAAUGAGGUUUAUGUGAGUGGUGACCUUAUCGCUGCAAGGGCUGAAAUAAAUGACCAAGAUCAUUCAGAGUAUCGCCUGAGGAAUUAUCUGAAGAAUAUCUUGAAUGUAAAAAAUCAAUGUGUGGUUUAUUUCACUGUAAAUUCACCCUGUUUGGAUAAAUGCAUAUCAGAAUCCGGGAAAUUCAGCAUUAGAGGUAAUCUGAAAAAUGUAGAAAAAUAUGAAGGAAUUAAAGCCUUUGCAUUCAAAAUAGUUUGGAAACGUGAUAAAAUUGCGGAGGUUACAAGGAGACUUAAGGAAAUUGCAGCUGCUUUGCCAUAUUAUCAUUGUGAGGCAAACAAAGCUGAAUGUGAUCGCCUGUAAGUAGAGCGAUGCUUAUGCUUGACAGUUGCUUUCUUCACACACAGAUACAGUAUAUUUUUAUUUCGCUGAGGGUUUUGGUUCUGUUUUAAUUGCAUUAAACAUUAAAAUUAGCAAAUAAAAUCUAUAAUCUGUAAAGGAUUUAAUGUUUU
ensembl:lncRNA